rnacentral:rRNA from 1 species
UACGGGGGGAGCAAGCGUUUGUUUCGGAUUUUUACUGGGCGUAAAGGGCGCGUAGGCGGCCAGCGCAAGUCAGUUUGUGAAAUCUCCGGGCUUUAACUCGGAACGGUCAACUGAUACUGCGCGGCUAGAGUGCAGAAGGGGCAACUGGAAUUCUCGGUGUAGUGGUGGAAUGCGUAGAGAUCCGGAGGAACACCAGCGGCGAAGGCGGCAUCCUGGACUGGUCCUGACGCUCAGGAGCGAAAGCGUGGGGAGCGAUCCGG